GGCGGCAUAGCCAAGCGGUAAGGCAAAGGAUUGCAAAUCCUCUAUUCCCCAGUUCGAGUCUGGGUGCCGCCU
rfam:Vitrella brassicaformis CCMP3155 genome assembly, contig: scaffold380